rnacentral:rRNA from 1 species
AGGACGAACGCUGGCGGCGUGCUUAAUACAUGCAAGUCAACUUGACUUUAGAUAGCAAUAUCGAAAAGUAGGGUGGCGCACGGGUGCGUAACGCGUAGGUAAUCUGCCCUGAGGUCUGACAUAACCCGUCGAAAGGCGGGCUAACAUCAGAUGAUAUAUAGUCACGACAUCGUGGAAAUAUCAAAUCUUCGGAGCCUUGGGAUGAGCCUGCGUCUGAUUAGGUAGUUGGCGGAGUAAUAGCCCACCAAGCCUACGAUCAGUAGCUGGUCUGAGAGGAUGAUCAGCCACACUGGAACUGAGACACGGUCCAGACUCCUACGGGAGGCAGCAGUAAGGAAUAUUGCUCAAUGGGGGAAACCCUGAAGCAGCAACGCCGCGUGAAGGAUGAAAUACUUUGUAUGUAAACUUCUGUAAGAUGGGAAAAAUAUUCUCCUCGGGAGAAUUGAUUGUACCAUCAGAGUAAGCCCCGGCUAACUACGUG